AGCGAACGCUGGCGGCAGGCCUAACACAUGCAAGUCGAACGAAGUCUUCGGACUUAGUGGCGGACGGGUGAGUAACACGUGGGAACGUGCCUUUAGGUUCGGAAUAACUCAGGGAAACUUGUGCUAAUACCGAAUGUGCCCUUCGGGGGAAAGAUUUAUCGCCUUUAGAGCGGCCCGCGUCUGAUUAGCUAGUUGGUGGGGUAAAGGCUCACCAAGGCGACGAUCAGUAGCUGGUCUGAGAGGAUGAUCAGCCACAUUGGGACUGAGACACGGGCCAAACUCCUACGGGAGGCAGCAGUGGGAAAUCUUGCGGAAUGGGCGAAAGCCUGACGCAGCCAUGCGGCGUGAAUGAUGAAGGUCUUAGAAUGGUAAAAUUCUUUCACCGGGGACGAUAAUGACGGUACCCGGAGAAGAAGCCCCGGCUAACUGCGUGCCAGCAGCCGCCGUAAGAC
rnacentral:rRNA from 1 species